UCAGCAUAACUAUAUCAGCAAAAGACCCAGCUCUUAACUCACAUAAUUGCACUGGGAAGGCUCCUUAAGUGGAGGCCAGCUUAUACAGAUUCUGCAGACGGAAGGAAGCAAGAGAAUUGCUCCUUUCAUCAUGAUGGCGUUUUAUCUCGGGGGCCUAGUGCUGGCAUUUUGAGUGUUGUUAACCUCUGCUAUUUUAGGACUGGUGUGUAGGAGCGCAUCACUACUGAAUCAGGCAUUCAGAUACUUCUCUCCUGGGAAUACGGUUCAGAAAUCUGGCUGCAAAGCAUGUGAAAGGAAGAGGAUUCACGUCUCCCUAUAUUUAAGAGAAAAAACAUAUGACCUGUUCAGCAGCAAUUCGUCUCAAGCAUCAAUCAGCAAGAUAUGGACCAGAAGGUCUGUUCAGGCAGUACAACUCUCAUGAAUGCAAAAUGAAGACAGUAAAAAGAGGAACAGAACUGUCAUGUUCUGGAAAAAGGUAAAUCCUGUUACUACUCACAAUUGCCAAACCUUGGGGAAUUUAAUUCUUCCAUUAACCUGGUCACUCUCCCAGAGAUACACGUAGCCUUUUCUUCCAGGCAGUCCACUUUCCUCUCUUGCAGCUGCAGGAGCUCUGGGCUGGUAUGAUAACGCUAGGGCUGGGAGUGAUGUUCGCACCUGGUUUAUUUAACAUAGCCAUUCCUGAGAAGCUGAUAACAGUAUUUUCAUAGUGAACGAUUUGCAUUUCUGAGCCCAUAGCACAGUGCCAGACCCAGCUGCUCGGUGGUGUUCAUUUGAGAUAAUCAAAUAUUUAGCAGCCAUUGCUGUAGCAAACGCUGCAUUAGGCCACAUCUCACAAAGCGGGGCUCCUUCCUCUGUUAGCCACCACCGUGCAAGUGGAACUCCUCCAAAGGACAGCCUCUGCCGCAGGAAGCCCACGGGUUUCACCCAUGGGUACCUGGGAGGAAGGGCUGACAGUCUGGUACCUGCAAACACCAGGAAGAGUAGAAGAGCUGUUUGUUUAAGUGAGACUACUGCUCUAUGAAUGUUUUAAUGGUUCACUGUACAAUUGCAGUGAGUAGGUUGCUAUUUUUAAAUGUUAAAACAUUCACCAGCUUGAAUUAAAUAAUUGAUUUAUUCUGUAUAAAGUUUCUAGGUCUACAUUUCUUAGUGGAGGGCACUGUUGCUGGACUAGACUACCUCUCUGGGACUUGUAUUUCUUCUGUGUUUCUUUUCCUAUGCAGAACCAGCUGUUACAAGAAAUAAAUGAAUAAUUUACUGGCUCAAAUUAGCAUUUUCAUCUUAUCUGUGAAUUAAGCUAAGGUUUUUCUCAAA